UGUCCUACGGGGCGCAGCAGUAGGGAAUUUUAGUCGAUGGGCGCAAGCCUGAACGAGCAAUGCCGCGUGAACGAGGAAGGUCUUCGGAUCGUAAGGUUCUGUUGAAGGGGAAAAAGAGCGGAGAGAGGAAAUGGUCUCCGAUUGAUAUUACCCUUCGAGGAAGUCACGGCUAACUACGUGCCAGCAGCCGCGGUAAUACGUAGGUGGCGAGCGUUAUCCGGAAUGCUUGGGCGUAAAGGGUGCGUAGGCGGCCUGCGAAGUCUGGAGCGAAAGGUACGGGCUCAACCGGUACAGGC
rnacentral:rRNA from 1 species